rnacentral:snoRNA from 1 species
AACAUCAAUCGCGGAUUCACCCUUUGUAUCAAAGAGUUGACGGUUUAGCUCUUUUUUCUAGAUCGAUGAUUUGUCAACUUUUGAAGGAUUUACAAGUGAAUAAAAAAGCGUAGAUAAACCUUUAAUGGAGCACGUUUCUGGGCGCCUGAUGUUGACUAUAUUUUAAAAUGGGACAUUGGGAAUCAGUUGUGACUACAAUU